rnacentral:rRNA from 1 species
AUGCAGUCGAGCGAGAAAGCUCCUUCGGGAGUUAGUAAAGCGGCGAACGGGUGAGUAACGCGUGAGAAUCUGCCCUUUAGUGAAGGAUACCCUCGAGAAAUCGAGGUUAAUACUGCAUACGUUUCUUCGGAAAGAAAGAUGGCCUCUUGCUGCCGCUGAAGGAUGAGCUCGCGUGCUAUUAGUUUGUUGGUAAGGUAAUGGCUUACCAAGACUAUGAUGGCUAGCCGGCCUGAGAGGGUGAACGGCCACACUGGAACUUAGACACGGUCCAGACUCCUACGGGAGGCAGCAGUGGGGAAUAUUGCGCAAUGGGCGAAAGCCUGACGCAGCGACGCCGCGUGGAGGAUGAAGGUUUUCGGAUCGUAAACUCCUGUUAAGUGGGAAGAAAGGUUUGCGGUUAAUACCCGCAAAACAUGACGGUACCAUUAGAGAAAGCACCGGCUAACUUCGUGCCAGCAGCCGCGGCAAUACGAGGGGUGCUAGCGUUAUUCGGAUUUACUGGGCGUAAAGGGUGUGUAGACGGUAUGUUAAGUCUGCUGUUAAAUUUCCUGGCCUAACUAGGAACAGGCAGCGGAUACUGGCAAACUUGAGGAUGGAAGAGAGAAGUGGAAUUCUCGG